rnacentral:pre_miRNA from 1 species
AGGAGGAACAACCGCAGUGGCGGGGCCAGCUCUGGAGCCCUGGAGUCAGCUCACGCAGGAACUCUGGAGCUCUCCGUCUGCAGGGCCUGGAGGCUCCGGGGCGAG